UACGUAGGUGGCAAGCGUUGUCCGGAUUUAUUGGGGUUUAAAGGGUGCGUAGGCGGUUUUUAAGUCAGUGGUGAAAUACGUCAGCUUAACUGGCGAGGUGCCAUUGAUACUGGGGAACUUGAGUACUGAUGAGGUAGGCGGAAUGGACGGUGUAGCGGUGAAAUGCUUAGAUAUCGUCCAGAACACCGAUAGCGAAGGCAGCUUACUAAAGAGUAACUGACGCUGAGGCACGAAAGUGUGGGGAUCAAACAGG
rnacentral:rRNA from 1 species